rnacentral:rRNA from 1 species
UAAGGAAUAUUGGUCAAUGGACGCAAGUCUGAACCAGCCAUGCCGCGUGGAGGAUGAAGGUCCUCUGGAUUGUAAACUUCUUUUAUCUGGGACGAAACACUUCUUUUCUAAGAGGCCUGACGGUACCAGAUGAAUAAGCACCGGCUAACUCCGUGCCAGCAGCCGCGGUAAUACGGAGGGUGCAAGCGUUAUCCGGAUUCACUGGGUUUAAAGGGUGCGUAGGUGGGUAUGUAAGUCAGUGGUGAAAUCCCCGAGCUUAACUUGGGAACUGCCAUUGAUACUAUAUAUCUUGAAUACCGUAGAGGUAAGCGGAAUAUGUCAUGUAGCGGUGAAAUGCUUAGAUAUGACAUGGAACACCAAUUGCGAAGGCAGCUUACUAUGUGGUGAUUGACACUGAGGCACGAAAGCGUGGGUAGCAAACA